rnacentral:rRNA from 1 species
GACGAACGCUGGCGGCGUGCUUAACACAUGCAAGUCGAACGGAAAGGCCCUGCUUGCAGGGUACUCGAGUGGCGAACGGGUGAGUAACACGUGGGUGAUCUGCCCUGCACCUCGGGAUAAGCCUGGGAAACUGGGUCUAAUACCGGCUAGGAGCCAUUUUUAGUGUGAUGGUUGGAAAGUUUUUUCGGUGUAGGAUGAGCUCGCGGCCUAUCAGCUUGUUGGUGGGGUAAUGGCCUACCAAGGCGGCGACGGGUAGCCGGCCUGAGAGGGUGGACGGCCACAUUGGGACUGAGAUACGGCCCAGACUCCUACGGGAGGCAGCAGUGGGGAAUAUUGCACAAUGGGCGCAAGCCUGAUGCAGCGACGCCGCGUGGGGGAUGACGGCCUUCGGGUUGUAAACUCCUUUCGCUAGGGACGAAGCUUUUUGUGACGGUACCUAGAUAAGAAGCACCGGCUAACUACGUG